rnacentral:lncRNA from 1 species
UGUUGAGGUGUGGCGGGUGCCCCACACCCACAGACUCCAGCCAUAUGAGUCUUCAUUUCCCCCUGUUCCCAGAGUGAGUGACUCUUUUCCUGGCCCCAAGGAGCAGCUGAAGAGGAUGCAGUGACCAGUGGAAGGACACGCAGCGUGUCCUGUAUUGUGAGAAAAGGAGCAGGAGCUGAAAAAGCGAGGCCAGUCUUACAACUCACUGGACUUCUGGCAAGAAUCCCUCCCCAGGAUUCUCCUUUCAUUGUAAAAAGGAUUGUGUGUUUAUGUUUGGAGGAGAAACAAACAAAACUGCAUGCGUUGCUGAUACGAAGAUAAAAAACUGUUGCUAUGUAACAAAAAUAAUAUGCAUAUACAUUAUUUAGGCAAACAUUUCCACUUGCUGUCACAGAACAGACAGCCCAAAUGAAAGAGCCAUAUGAACAAGAAAUCAUGGAACCAAUCUCAAGGAAAACAAGUUUUGCUUUGGAAAAUUUCUUUCAAAAUAUAUGCACUUGAAAUCAAUUAAAUAAUAAAAUUGUAACAUUCAAUAAAUGAGGUAGAACU